rnacentral:rRNA from 1 species
GAUGAACGCUGGCGGCGUGCUUAACACAUGCAAGUCGAACGGAAAGGCCCAAGCUUGCUUGGGUACUCGAGUGGCGAACGGGUGAGUAACACGUGGGUGAUCUGCCCUGCACUUCGGGAUAAGCCUGGGAAACUGGGUCUAUUACCGGAUAGGACCACAUUUUGGAUGGUGUGGUGGAAAGUUUUUCGGUGUGGGAUGAGCUCGCGGCCUAUCAGCUUGUUGGUGGGGUAAUGGCCUACCAAGGCGUCGACGGGUAGCCGGCCUGAGAGGGUGUACGGCCACAUUGGGACUGAGAUACGGCCCAGACUCCUACGGGAGGCAGCAGUGGGGAAUAUUGCACAAUGGGCGCAAGCCUGAUGCAGCGACGCCGCGUGGGGGAUGACGGCCUUCGGGUUGUAAACUCCUUUCGCUAGGGACGAAGCGUUAUGUGACGGUACCUGGAGAAGAAGCACCGGCUAACUACGUG